AACGCUAGCUACAGGCUUAACACAUGCAAGUCGAGGGGCAGCAUGGUCUUAGCUUGCUAAGGCCGAUGGCGACCGGCGCACGGGUGAGUAACACGUAUCCAACCUGCCGUCUACUCUUGGACAGCCUUCUGAAAGGAAGAUUAAUACAAGAUGGCAUCAUGAGUCCGCAUGUUCACAUGAUUAAAGGUAUUCCGGUAGACGAUGGGGAUGCGUUCCAUUAGAUAGUAGGCGGGGUAACGGCCCACCUAGUCUUCGAUGGAUAGGGGUUCUGAGAGGAAGGUCCCCCACAUUGGAACUGAGACACGGUCCAAACUCCUACGGGAGGCAGCAGUGAGGAAUAUUGGUCAAUGGGCGAGAGCCUGAACCAGCCAAGUAGCGUGAAGGAUGACUGCCCUAUGGGUUGUAAACUUCUUUUAUAAAGGAAUAAAGUCGGGUAUGGAUACCCGUUUGCAUGUACUUUAUGAAUAAGGAUCGGCUAACUCCGUGCCAGCAGCCGCGGUAAUACGGAGGAUCCGAGCGUUAUCCGGAUUUAUUGGGUUUAAAGGGAGCGUAGAUGGAUGUUUAAGUCAGUUGUGAAAGUUUGCGGCUCAACCGUAAAAUUGCAGUUGAUACUGGAUAUCUUGAGUGCAGUUGAGGCAGGCGGAAUUCGUGGUGUAGCGGUGAAAUGCUUAGAUAUCACGAAGAACUCCGAUUG
rnacentral:rRNA from 2 species